UCGGGAAGACAGUUGCGGCGGAUUUCGUUUUUUCAAGUCCGUUCGCUGCAUUCCCAGCC
rnacentral:pre_miRNA from 1 species